rnacentral:rRNA from 1 species
CAGUACCCGCGGGAAUACGUAUGUCACAAGCGUUAUCCGGAUUUAUUGGGCGUAAAGCGCGUCUAGGCGGUUAAUUAAGUCUGAUGUGAAAAUGCGGAGCUCAACUCCGUAUUGCGUUGGAAACUGGUUAACUAGAGUACUGGAGAGGUAAGCGGAACUACAAGUGUAGAGGUGAAAUUCGUAGAUAUUUGUAGGAAUGCCGAUGGGGAAGCCAGCUUACUGGACAGAUACUGACGCUAAAGCGCGAAAGCGUGGGUAGCAAACAGGAUUAGAUACCCGGGUAGUCCCUGUCUCUUAUACA